AGUGAACGCUGGCGGUAGGCCUAACACAUGCAAGUCGAACGGCAGCACAGGAGAGCUUGCUCUCUGGGUGGCGAGUGGCGGACGGGUGAGGAAUACAUCGGAAUCUACUUUUUCGUGGGGAAUAACGUAGGGAAACUUACGCUAAUACCGCAUACGACCUACGGGUGAAAGCAGGGGACCUUCGGGCCUUGCGCGAUUGAAUGAGCCGAUGUCGGAUUAGCUAGUUGGCGGGGUAAAGGCCCACCAAGGCGACGAUCCGUAGCUGGUCUGAGAGGAUGAUCAGCCACACUGGAACUGAGACACGGUCCAGACUCCUACGGGAGGCAGCGGUGGGGAAUAUUGGACAAUGGGCGCAAGCCUGAUCCAGCCAUACGGCGUGGGUGAAGAAGGCCUUCGGGUUGUAAAGCCCUUUUGUUGGGAAAGAAAUCCAGCUGGCUAAUACCCGGUUGGGAUGACGGUACCCAAAGAAUAAGCACCGGCUAACUUCGUGCCAGCCGCCGCGGUAA
rnacentral:rRNA from 1 species